UACGUAGGUGGCAAGCGUGUCCGGAUUUAUUGGGUUUAAAGGGUGCGUAGGCGGUUCUAUAAGUCAGUGGUGAAAUCCGGCAGCUCAACUGUCGAUGUGCCAUUGAUACUGCAGAACUUGAGUACAGACGAGGUAGGCGGAAUUGACGGUGUAGCGGUGAAAUGCUUAGAUAUCGUCAAGAACACCGAAUAGCGAAGGCAGCUUACUAGACUGGUAACUGACGCUGAUGCACGGAA
rnacentral:rRNA from 1 species